rnacentral:rRNA from 1 species
ACAUGACUCUCGGCAAUGGAUAUCUCGGCUCUCGCAUCGAUGAAGAGCGCAGCGAAAUGCGAUACGUGGUGCGAAUUGCAGAAUCCCGUGAACCAUCGAGUUUUUGAACGCAAGUUGCGCCCGAGGCCAGCCGGCCAAGGGCACGUCCUCCUGGGCGUCA